rnacentral:rRNA from 1 species
UACGGAAGGGGCAAGCGUUGUUCGGAAUCAUUGGGCGCAAAGGGCGCGUAGGUGGUUCUGUAUGUCUACCGUGAAAGCGUACGGCUCAACCGUAUUUUGUCGGUAGAAACUGCAGGACUUGAGGCUGGGAGGGGCUGGUGGAAUUCCCUGUGUAGCGGUGAAAUGCGUAGAGAUGGGGGAGAACACUCGUGGCGAAGGCGGCCAGCUAGACCAGUUCUGACACUGAGGCGCGAUAGCGUGGGGAGCAAACAGG